rnacentral:rRNA from 1 species
UAGGGAAUCUUCCGCAAUGGACGCAAGUCUGACGGAGCAACGCCGCGUGAGUGAAGAAGGAUUUCGGUUCGUAAAACUCUGUUGUUAGAGAAGAACAGCGCAUAGAGUAACUGUUAUGCGUGUGACGGUAUCUAACCAGAAAGCCACGGCUAACUACGUGCCAGCAGCCGCGGUAAUACGUAGGUGGCAAGCGUUGUCCGGAUUUAUUGGGCGUAAAGCGAGCGCAGGCGGUCAAUUAAGUCUGAUGUGAAAGCCCCCGGCUCAACCGGGGAGGGUCAUUGGAAACUGGUUGACUUGAGUGCAGAAGAGGAGAGUGGAAUUUCAUGUGUAGCGGUGAAAUGCGUAGAUAUAUGGAGGAACACCGGUGGCGAAAGCGGCUCUCUGGUCUGUAACUGACGCGGAGGCUCGAAAGCGUGGGGAGCGAACAGG